rnacentral:rRNA from 1 species
UACGUAGGGUGCAAGCGUUAAUCGGAAUUACUGGGCGUAAAGCGUGCGCAGGCGGUUGUGCAAGACCGAUGUGAAAUCCCCGGGCUCAACCUGGGAAUGGCAUUGGUGACUGCACGGCUAGAGUGUGUCAGAGGGGGGUAGAAUUCCACGUGUAGCAGUGAAAUGCGUAGAGAUGUGGAGGAAUACCGAUGGCGAAGGCAGCCCCCUGGGAUAACACUGACGCUCAUGCACGAAAGCGUGGGGAGCGAACAGG